rfam:Haemonchus placei strain MHpl1 genome assembly, scaffold: HPLM_scaffold0000026
GUCUCGGUAGUAUAAGGGUUAGAGCACGGUGCUUAGAAAGUACAAGUACGGGUUCGAGACCCGUCCGAGACU